rnacentral:rRNA from 1 species
GGGUCAGUAGGUUGGUCGUGCCACCGGUACGUACUGGUCUCACUGAUUCCUCCUUCCUGAAGAACCGUAAUGCCAUUAAUUUGGUGUUGCGGGGAAUCAGGACUGUUACUUUGAAAAAAUUAGAGUGUUUAAAGCAAGCUAACGCUUGAAUAAAUUAGCAUGGAAUAAUGAAAUAGGACGAUCGAUCCUAUUUUGUUGGUUUCUAGGAUUGACGUA